rnacentral:rRNA from 1 species
UAAAUAACUUGUCAGAUCAAUUUAAAAUUUAAUCUCUAAGAAAAAUAAUUUUAUAAUUAGAAUUGUUAGUAGCUUUUAGUAAAAUCAAUUAAAGACUAUAGUCAAGAGUACUGUAAAGGAAAGUAAGAAAAUUUGAAGUAGUAGAUUUAAAAUUUUGUACCUUGUGUAUCAGGGAGAAUCUAUUUAAGUUAAUAAUAGUUAAAUGUCUCGAAAUAAAAUAUAGCUAAUUUUAUAAAAAAUUUUUUGUAGAAAAUAAAUUUUAAAUAUAAAAUUAAAGGUGAAACGCUAAUCGAGUUUUAUUAUAUCUAGUUUUUUAAAAAUAAAUUUAAUUUAAUUUUUAUAUGUACCAAAUAUAAAAUUUAAGUGUAGGAGGGAUUAGCUUCUUAUAAAUUUGAAUAAUAAAGAGUUAAUAGACAAAGUUGGUUGGUGAAUUAAGCUUAAGAGUAGCUAUAUUAAUAAAGUGUUUUAGCUAAAUUAAAACUGAAAAAUAUUUAUAAAAACUUUUUGUAGUAUUAGAAAAUUAAUUAAAAUAAGGAUAGUUAAGUUAUAAUGAUUCUAUUAGUAAAAAUUUAUUGUAAGAAAAAGCAUUAAAAUAGUAAGAAUUAUUUAAAGUUUUUGUGACAGUAUAGAGGAACUCGGCAAAUAAUUUCUUUGCCUGUUUAUCAAAAACAUGUCUAUUUGGAGAUAUAAAAAGUUUAACCUGCCCACUGAUUAAUAGUAUUAAAUGGCCGCGGUAUUUUGACCGUGCAAAGGUAGCAUAAUCGUUAGUUUUUUAAUUGGAAUCUUGUAUGAAUGGUUGGACAAAAGAAAGUCUGUCUUUACACUGUUUACUGAAUUUAACUUUUAAGUGAAAAGGCUUAAAUAAAUUAAAGGGACGAUAAGACCCUAUAAAGCUUAAUAUUAAAAUUUUAUUUGGUUGAAUUUUUAAUUAUAAGAACUUAGUAACUAAAUUUAUUUUAUUGGGGUGAUAAGAGUAAAAUGAUUAUUAACUGCUUAAUCUCAAAUACACUUAUAGGUGAUUAAAUUUUUAAAUGAUCCUAAUUAAAGAUUAAAAGUUCAAGUUACUUUAGGGAUAACAGCGUUAUUUUUCUUAAGAGUACUUAUCGAAAGAAAAGUUUGCGACCUCGAUGUUGAAUUAAAAUGUCUUUAUAAUUGCAGCAGUUAUAAGAGUGGGUCUGUUCGACCUUUAAAAUUUUACAUGAUUUGAGUUCAAACCGGCGUGAGCCAGGUUGGUUUCUAUCUUUUAAUUAGAAAAAGAUUAUUUUAGUACGAAAGGAUUAAAUAAUUAAAAUUAUUUUAAAGUGUGAUU